rnacentral:lncRNA from 1 species
AACAACCCGAAUUUUUAUUUUCAAAAUAUUUUCCAAUUAAAUUUAAUGAACCGACAGCCUGUAAAUUUAUUUCAAUAUUUUAAUGUGAAUACCGUGAGAAACCGAUUGAAAAAGCCGAAAACCAAUUGAAAACCAAAGAUUUGGGCCGAAUCGAACCGGUUCGACCCAAACCAUCUAGAAAAAUCUCUUGUUUUUUUUAUUCUCCAACGCAAACCUCACCCCCUCACUCCCUCACCAGCGCUGCACCUCCACUCCACCGACACAACCACCACGCCACCUCCUCCUCUCUUCUUCUUCUUCUUCUUCUUCUUCUUCAUCUUCUCUUUUCUUCUUUUCUUUCUUUUCUUUCUUUUCCCUUCACUGCGUCUGCGUCCUUGGCGAGACAGGGCAGCAGAGUCGCGCCCACCUCCAGCCCGAUCGGACCUCCUCGCGCGCCACCUUGCUGCAGCUCGACGCUGCAGUCUCUCCGCCAGCUCCUCUGUCAGAUCGCGCCGCUACACUGGUUCUCUUCUGCCUUCGAUCGAGCAAGGGCANNNNN